AAUAGGACUGUGUGGUGCCCGACACAUCGUUUAUGGGUCAGCGCAGCCGUGGUGGCUGAGCCCGUGGCCAGGGGCCGCUCGCGCCCUCCCGGCGGCUACCACCGCAGCCAGGGGGCCCUCUGGCCUCGGAACCGACCCACUCCAGGCUCCAAGUGCCAAAGUGACAGUCAGCCUUGCCACGAGAUAAGAGAUGAAGAGACUGGGGCCUGAAGAAAUUAAGUUACUUGUCUGGUGCCACAUAGCUCGUAGGUGAGAGAGCCUGGAUGACAGCACACAGGCCCGUCUCAGAGCCCACACGCUCACCCAUUCCACGUAGCCACUUCCCGUGAGAAAGGGAAAAACAAGGCUCCCGGUCUCUUAAGCAUCUCAUUUCGUGGGGAAGAUGCAAUCCAGGUGCAC